rnacentral:rRNA from 1 species
CCUACGGGUGGCAGCAGUGGGGAAUAUUGGACAAUGGGGGGAACCCUGAUCCAGCCAUGCCGCGUGUGUGAAGAAGGCCCUCGGGUUGUAAAGCACUUUCAGUGAGGAAGAACGCCUGGUGGUUAAUACCCAUCAGGAAAGACAUCACUCACAGAAGAAGCACCGGCUAACUCCGUGCCAGCAGCCACGGUAAUACGGAGGGUGCGAGCGUUAAUCGGAAUUACUGGGCGUAAAGCGCGCGUAGGUGGCUUGAUAAGCCGGUUGUGAAAGCCCCGGGCUCAACCUGGGAACGGCAUCCGGAACUGUCAAGCUAGAGUGCAGGAGAGGAAGGUAGAAUUCCCGGUGUAGCGGUGAAAUGCGUAGAGAUCGGGAGGAAUACCAGUGGCGAAGGCGGCCUUCUGGACUGACACUGACACUGAGGUGCGAAAGCGUGGGUAGCAAACAGGAUUAGAUACCCCAGUAGUC